CCGAGUUUACAACUCCCCAAACCCAACGUGAACCAUACCAAACUGUUGCCUCGGCGGGGUCACGCCCCGCGGUGCGUCGCAGCCCCGGAACCAGGCGCCCGCCGGAGGGACCAACCAAACUCUUUCUGUAGUCCCCUCGCGGACGUUAUUUCUUACAGCUCUGAGCAAAAAUUCAAAAUGAGUC
rnacentral:misc_RNA from 1 species